UACGAAGGGGGCUAGCGUUGCUCGGAAUCACUGGGCGUAAAGGGUGCGUAGGCGGGUCUUUAAGUCAGGGGUGAAAUCCUGGAGCUCAACUCCAGAACUGCCUUUGAUACUGAGGAUCUUGAGUUCGGGAGAGGUGAGUGGAACUGCGAGUGUAGAGGUGAAAUUCGUAGAUAUUCGCAAGAACACCAGUGGCGAAGGCGGCUCACUGGCCCGAUACUGACGCUGAGGCACGAACGCGUGGGGAG
rnacentral:rRNA from 1 species